CCCCAGCGUUUCUACAUUAGAAAAUUUUUCAAGCAGAAAUUUCUGCGAAUUCUCCUUAGUCACGUUUCUUUUUCACAACUCGCAUCAACACGAAUACGAAUACAAAUUUGCAAUUGAUUAUGGACAACAAUAAAUCCGGCACAAUUCGCUAUCUGUUUAAUCGAAAGCAGGUGCGCAUGCGUACACAAUUCAUGCUCUUUUCUGUGUUUUUAUAUGUAACAUACGUACAUAUACAUACGUGGAAUAACGUUUCAAUUGGUUUCAAUCAAAAAUACCACAGGUUAAAGAUGGAAUGAAGUAUGUAUAUUACAAAUAGGUUCGAAUCUAACUAGAUAGUUUUGUAUAAUUCAGCGAACACAUCCUUUGAAAAAUAUUUUUAAGUAAACCUGAAACCAGGCAAGAAAGCUUCAACUUCUUUGCAGGUAUUUUGAGAAAUAUAAGCGGUACUUUUAAGUAUAAUCGUACCUUAAUCGAAUAUAGGCAAGCCUUUCACAAAUAUGUACUUCAAUUCGAAGUUUUUUUAUUCUCUGCAAUUUUGUGAUUUAGUGUGACUUUUAACGAUGACGCUCGUUGAAAUAGAAAUCUAAUAGAAUAAAUAGAAACACUAAUUUACUGAAAACUCCAAAGGAUUUGUAUUGCACAGAAGUAUAUUUUAUCGAGAAAAAUUUCAUUGAUUACAAGAUGUUUCUUGUAUAUUUUUACAUUCAUAAUUUCCUGUAAUUUGUUUCCAAUUGCUCUGUUAUGGGUUUCAAGUUUUUUGUCAAUAACUUUUGGGUUAACAUGGAAGUGAAAAUAGAACAGUAUAUCAAAUGCAUUUAUGCUCCAGGAGAUGCAGUAACUAUUCCAUUUUAGAAAUCAGUGGCCAAGUGUUUUAUGACCAGUUCAUUGACCUCGUCAAAGGGGAAUGCACAAUACAAGAAUUUCUUAGAGAAAUGGAGUUUACCAGUAUAUUUCCAUAUACGAUUUGAAGAGACAGUUGGUGUUGUUAUAACUUUUUUAAACAGAACCUAUAUGACUACCAUCUAUAAAAAGAUUUUUCACAAAAUAAAAUUUUCUCAAUAUGCAACAUGCAUACGAUGGGAAAAUCUGCAAAGAAUUUGGGCAUACAUAUCUCUUUAUCAGCUUUUCAUAGAUUCUGAAUAUUCAAUUUACAUGUGUGUGCCAGGCACCAAACGUGGUCCCUAACAGCACUUAAAGAAGUAUAAUAUUUAAAAAUUUUUUCAAAUUAUGUAAUACAACGAAGCGAGCAUAGUUAGUGCCUGUACACAUGUAUCUCAAG